UGGGGAAUUUUGGACAAUGGGCGAAAGCCUGAUCCAGCAAUGCCGCGUGUGUGAAGAAGGCCUUCGGGUUGUAAAGCACUUUUGUCCGGAAAGAAAUCCUUGGCUCUAAUACAGUCGGGGGAUGACGGUACCGGAAGAAUAAGCACCGGCUAACUACGUGCCAGCAGCCGCGGUAAUACGUAGGGUGCAAGCGUUAAUCGGAAUUACUGGGCGUAAAGCGUGCGCAGGCGGUUUGCUAAGACCGAUGUGAAAUCCCCGGGCUCAACCUGGGAACUGCAUUGGUGACUGGCAGGCUAGAGUAUGGCAGAGGGGGGUAGAAUUCCACGUGUAGCAGUGAAAUGCGUAGAGAUGUGGAGGAAUACCGAUGGCGAAGGCAGCCCCCUGGGCCAAUACUGACGCUCAUGCACGAAAGCGUGGGGGAGCAAAACAGGAUUAGAUACCCUGGUAGUCCACGCCCUAAAACGAUGUCAACUAGUUGUUGGGGGAUUCAUUUCCUUAGUAACGUAGCUAACGCGUGAAGUUGACCGCCUGGGGGAGUACGGUCGCAAGAUUAAAACUCAAAUGAAUUGACGGGGUCAUAGCUGUUUCCU
rnacentral:rRNA from 1 species